rnacentral:rRNA from 1 species
GAUGAACGCUGGCGGCGUGCCUAAUACAUGCAAGUCGAGCGAACGGACGAGAAGCUUGCUUCUCUGAUGUUAGCGGCGGACGGGUGAGUAACACGUGGAUAACCUACCUAUAAGACUGGGAUAACUUCGGGAAACCGGAGCUAAUACCGGAUAAUAUUUUGAACCGCAUGGUUCAAAAGUGAAAGACGGUCUUGCUGUCACUUAUAGAUGGAUCCGCGCUGCAUUAGCUAGUUGGUAAGUGAACGGCUUACCAAGGCAACGAGGCAUAGCCGACGUGAGGGGGUGAUAGGCCACACUGGAACUGGAACACGGACCAGACUCCUACGGGAGGCAGCAGUAGGGAAUCUUCCGCAAUGGGCGAAAGCCUGACGGAGCAACGCCGCGUGAGUGAUGAAGGUCUUCGGAUCGUAAAACUCUGUUAUUAGGGAAGAACAUAUGUGUAAGUAACUGUGCACAUCUUGACGGUACCUAAUCAGAAAGCCACGGCUAACUACGUG